GAUGAACGCUGGCGGCGUGCUUAACACAUGCAAGUCGAACGGAAAGGCCCAAGCUUGCUUGGGUACUCGAGUGGCGAACGGGUGAGUAACACGUGGGUGAUCUGCCCUGCACUUCGGGAUAAGCCUGGGAAACUGGGUCUAAUACCGGAUAGGACCACUUCUUGGAUGUUGUGGUGGAAAGUUUUUUCGGUGUGGGAUGAGCUCGCGGCCUAUCAGCUUGUUGGUGGGGUAAUGGCCUACCAAGGCGUCGACGGGAAGCCGGCCUGAGAGGGUGUACGGCCACCUUGGGACUGAGGUACGGCCCAGACUCCUACGGGAGGCAGCAGUGGGGAAUAUUGCACAAUGGGCGCAAGCCUGAUGCAGCGACGCCGCGUGGGGGAUGACGGCCUUCGGGUUGUAAACUCCUUUCGCUAGGGACGAAGCGUUUUGUGACGGUACCUGGAGAAGAAGCACCGGCUAACUACGUG
rnacentral:rRNA from 1 species